CAGUCGCCACGGUAAUACGUUGGUGGCAAGCGUUGUCCGGAAUUAUUGGGCGUAAAGCGCGCGCAGGCGGAUCAGUUAGUCUGUCUUAAAAGUUCGGGGCUUAACCCCGUGAUGGGAUGGAAACUGCUGAUCUAGAGUAUCGGAGAGGAAAGUGGAAUUCCUAGUGUAGCGGUGAAAUGCGUAGAUAUUAGGAAGAACACCAGUGGCGAAGGCGACUUUCUGGACGAAAACUGACGCUGAGGAGCGAAAGCGUGGGGAGCGAACAGGAUUAGAUACCCCAGUAGUCCCUGUCUCUUAUACA
rnacentral:rRNA from 1 species